UAAAAACACAGCACUCUGCAAACACGAAAGUGGACGUAUAGGGUGUGACGCCUGCCCGGUGCUGGAAGAUUAAAUGAUGGGGUGCAAGCUCUUGAUUGAAGUCCCAGUAAACGGCGGCCGUAACUAUAACGGUCCUAAGGUAGCGAAAUUCCUUGUCGGGUAAGUUCCGACCUGCACGAAUGGCGUAACGAUGGCCACACUGUCUCCUCCUGAGACUCAGCGAAGUUGAAAUGUUUGUGAUGAUGCAAUCUCCCCGCGGAAAGACGGAAAGACCCCAUGAACCUUUACUGUAGCUUUGUAUUGGACUUUGAACAGAUCUGUGUAGGAUAGGUGGGAGGCUUUGAAGCAGGGUCGCUAGAUCUUGUGGAGCCAACGUUGAAAUACCACCCUGGUGUGUUUGAGGUUCUAACCUAGGUCCAUUAUCUGGAUCGGGGACAGUGCAUGGUAGGCAGUUUGACUGGGGCGGUCUCCUCCCAAAGCGUAACGGAGGAGUUCGAAGGUACGCUAGUUACGGUCGGACAUCGUGACGAUAGUGCAAUGGCAUAAGCGUGCUUAACUGCGAGACUGACAAGUCGAGCAGAUGCGAAAGCAGGACAUAGUGAUCCGGUGGUUCUGUAUGGAAGGGCCAUCGCUCAACGGAUAAAAGGUACUCUGGGGAUAACAGGCUGAUACCGCCCAAGAGUUCAUAUCGACGGCGGUGUUUGGCACCUCGAUGUCGGCUCAUCUCAUCCUGGGGCUGUAGCCGGUCCCAAGGGUAUGGCUGUUCGCCAUUUAAAGAGGUACGUGAGCUGGGUUUAAAACGUCGUGAGACAGUUUGGUCCCUAUCUUCCGUGGGCGCUGCAGAUUUGAGGAAGCCUGCUCCUAGUACGAGAGGACCGGAGUGGACACACCUCUGGUGUAUCGGUUGUCACGCCAGUGGCAUUGCCGAGUAGCUAAGUGUGGAAGAGAUAACCGCUGAAAGCAUCUAAGCGGGAAACUCGUUUCAAGAUGAGAUCUGCCGGGGCCUUGAGCCCCCUGAAGAGUCGUUC
rnacentral:rRNA from 1 species